GAGACUCUAUUUUGAAAAUGUAUGAAUGCAUGUAUGGAUGAAUCUUGUUUGCAAAACUCUUGGUUAAUUUCAGUCAUUCAUUUCAGAAAUGCCAUAACAUUUGUUCGCAAAUAUUUUAAGUAAUAAGGCAAUAAAACACAAUAAAAUGAAUCCUAAAAGAGAUUUUUCAUUAAUUCAUAACAAAGUUCAAAUACAAAUAAAAUGCCUAUGGCUUAUGGGAUUU
rnacentral:lncRNA from 1 species